CCGAAGCGUCUCGAGUUUCCCCACCCCGGGGGGUGUGUGUGGAGCUACCUAGCUGCCAAGUUCAGCACAGCGAGCCCACCCUUCCCGGAGCAGGAUGUCACCCACGUGGCGGUUACGGCACUGUUUCUUUCCAAGGAGUUUAUCUGCUCUGCCCUUUGCUCAUCAAAAUGAGUCUGAAAUCUACCAAGCUGUGAAAUGGACAAAGAACACUGGCGGGCAUGGCGGGCUGCGACAGAGGCAGACCGUACGAGGAACGUUCGACUGUGGCGUGCACGAGGACAUUUGGAGAUUCUCCGUGGAUGUUGACCUGUCACCUCUGCCAAGAGCCAGCCCCACUGGGCUGCUGAAUGACCUAAAGAGCGACCCUUUCAGCUGCAACUGUAGCCUGGAAUUAAAUGGAGAUGGCAAAGACAUGGGAACGGGAGACCAGAAAAUGGCAACCAGUCACGUUUGUACGGAAUCUUCUUUGACCUGGACUGUUUCCAGCGGGCAGUUCUCCAAGGAGCAAGGUCUCUCUGGCAGGGAGCAGGUGGUCCCUGGAGGGCACCAGCAUUGAUGGCCCAGGGCAUGCAAAUUCUGCCACUGACAUAAGUGGGCCCCUGAAUGCCUGCUAAACUGGCUCUACAGUUCAGAUCUGUUGGCAGGGCAGCAGCUAAGAGGUUAGCCUUCGUGAGUAAGAGGGAAAUAACUCCAGUGAGGCUUCCUAGAAAGGAUUCAUUCAUUCAUCCACUCCUCCAUCAAAUCCUUUGCGAAGCAGAACUUUGUGCCUGAUCCUGUACUUGAUAAUGACGUUAAGGACGAAGGCAGAUUGCUCCUCAGCCCCGCCCCGGCAGAGCGUAUAACAUUCCAGUGCGCAUCAGAGAUAAUAAAUAAGUAAAAACAGUCCCUGAUAAGCGUGAUGGAGGAAACAGGGUCCAGGGAUUGAAAGUAAUCAGGGGACCUAUGGAAGAGGGAUGCUGGGAGGCUUAGCCAAGAGGGAUGCAGCAAUGUGCAGAAGUGGGGUGGGGAUGGGGGAAGGGCUUUAGGGAGAGAGCACAAGCUCAAAGGUGACUAAAUAAAAGGAGUCUGGGCCACUUCAAGAACAGGAAGAUGGAACCGAAGAGGAGAUGGAUGGAAUUAUCAAAGGCUCCACAGGUGAUGAUGAAGAGACUGGAUUUUAAUGCCCAGAGGGACGAGAAAUAGUGGAAGAGAGGAGAGACAUGAGCUCAAGAAACCUUCUAAGGGAUAUAAGAACAAUAUCCAGAAGCAAUGGCCAUGAGAACUCAGGACAGUUCUGGAAGCUUUGUCACCCCACCAGGUUUCGACUGUUCUUCUUUGGUAUUUUUCCAUGGUAAGGGACAGCAAAAACACUCAUAAAAAGUAAAGUGGCAACUGGGGAGAUGGGCAGGAAGAGGCACACACGUGCACACACUCAAAUGCUCGCUUAGACAUUCUAUGGACUCCAGACAACACAUUCACCCUUCCUGCAUGCAUGCGUGGAUGCACACAUGUGUGCACAUAUGCACACAUGCACAUGUGCAAAGUUCUCCACCUAUAAACACACAAAUCCCGAAUGCCAUUUGAAUGGGCCACUGAAUGAGAAUCUGCUCACCAUCGUCAACCAAACACCUUCUUACUACCUUCUCUCUCCAUCAACACGAGAACACCACUUGCGCAUCAAGAACCAGUUAAGUAAGUUAAACUGAUUUUUAUCCUUCAUGACACCCUGUGCUGAGAAUAUAUUUCCUCAUCACUCACAUGUGAUAACUGCCCAUGGACUGCACCCUUCCCGCUUAAGGCUGACUUUCUGCUGUCACCUUCUCUCAUUCAAUCCUCAAGGAACACAAAUAGGUUGGCAAUGCCCAGUUGUAUGUGCCUGGCUCAGUUUUUGCAGGUACACAACUUCCUGUGCACAGCAAGGUGCAUGGCAGUGAGGAGCAAGGGCUUCUGAAGAUGUUCCUGGUGUUCCCGCAGGUGUGUUCGGAGGCACUCCACGAGUCCGCCAACAAGUGUGACAGUGACGACGAUGACGAUGACAGUGCCAUGUUUUUUCUUUGGCAGCCCCUCGGCAUAUGGCAUUCCCAGGCGAGGGAUCAGAUCUGAGCCACAGCUGUGACCUACACCAAAGCUGUAGCGACAUCAAAUCCUUUAACCCACGCUGCUGGGCUGGGGAUUGAACCUGUGUCCUGGUGCUGCGGAGAUGCCACUGAUCCCAGCGCACCAAGCGGGAAUUUCAUGAUGGUGCCAUUUCUGCAGGUAUUGUUCACACUUCAAUUUAACCCACAAACAACAGGUAUUAUUCCUAUCUUAUAGACAAGAAAAUCGAGAUGCAGCAGAACCCACCCAACUCCUCCAAGCUAUGCCCUUCAUUAUCACCUUACGGUGUUUCUCAAUUGUGUUGUCUUGCUGUCUUUCCAGAUGACUAAGGGUGUGUUUUGUUUUGUUUGUUUCUCCCUGUGCAUUAGAAUACUUAGUAUAUGCCAGUGAAGCGACCUCCCUAUUGAAGGAGGAUCUUUUAAAACUGCAUCUAGACCUACCCUUUGGCCUCAGAGGAAAUAUCACUCUUAUCAGCUAGAGCAUUCAUGAAGAUCAUUCACGCCAACACUAGACACACUGCUGCAGAAAAUUCCAUGCACUCCUGAGACUUCCAAAAAUGCACAAAUACUUGGCCAUGUGGCCGCUGAUGGCCUGGCUGCAGUCAUCUCCAGGACAUGGUCUCACCCUUCCAACCUCCUUCUUAAAUGAAAACUGCCAUUGCUUUGCUUCUGUCCUCAUCUCCUCGUCUCCGAGGUGCCCGUUUAAAAACUGAUUUCUGCCUAGGAAGCACCAACCAUCACCCGGCUCCUUAGGCUUUCCAGCUUGUUAGGUCUCGCAGAGAUGGGAGGUGGCCCUAUCUCGAACUAUUUUUAUUUAGUCUUCUUGUAGCUCCGAGAGGCCUCUAGAUUUUUUCAGAGCUUUUUUUGGAGGCGCUGGGAUGCCAGUUGGGAGGGAAGGAAAAACACCACUCAACAGGGCAAGGUUCGAUUUUUCUAGCGAUGGCUUAAAGGCCAAAGUAGACCGGAGCUUAUUCCUAAAUCAAUUAUUGGAAUUCUCCGUUUGCUUUGCCAGGCAUUCCUGCGAGGGCACAUACCCUUCAGGCUUCGGUUUGGUUUGAUUUCCUGCUUUUUGUUUGAUGGUAAUGGUUCUUCUAUAGCCGAGGCCAAGUUCACUGACAUAACUUUUGACUAAUAUUCCCUAUCAAGACGGGCAACCCAUCAACAGACCUCAGCCUGAUGUUAACUUGGGGGACCGAGAUAUGCAUGAUGCAAAACAUCCAGCUUUCGGAACCAAAAAUAAGACUGCUCUUUGAAAACACUGCUAAAAAGAGCAUGGGCGGCUCAGGGCGGGUAACUCUAUCUGAAACGCCAGCGCUGCUUCUUGUCCAAAAUACCUGGAGGCCCACUCCACAUAAUGUGAGCGAUGUGGCUACUUCCUCCUCUGUGUCCUUUGCCAAAACACUGAAUCCUUCAUCAGAAGUAGGGAAACAGCCCAGAAGCACCUUACGGAUUUGCUGGGGGCUUUGGCGCUCGUGUCCCGCUUAAAACAGUCUAAUGGUUUAUCGGCCUCCCCUUCUUUGCUGCAGUCAACAAGCAGCUUACCUGCCAAAAUCCAGCUAAAAAUAUCCUCUGCAUCUGCAGCCCAUCAGCCCUCUCUGGCUGAUGUGGGUGGGUCACUGACCUUUGGAGCAGGUGGAAAGCCAGAAAUUUAUUUAUUUUUCCUGGAUUGAGCCGCAGUUGACUUAAAACAGAUGUUCCCCCUUGUCGAUCUGGUGUUUAUAAUGGAAAUACUAUUGAGCGCCGUUUAANGGGGGGAGGCGCCUGAGUGCACAGGUGCUGAAGGGGUUAAGUCCAGCCACCCUUCUCUGAGGGCUGAAAAACCAGGAGAUGCCUCUGGCAAGUUGGGGGCGGGGUCAGGAAAGGAAGCUGUCACUGUGUAUUUCCAGGUUUGCAGAAAAGCCUUUUUUUUUUUUUUUUUAAAUGUAAACAUUCAUUAAACUAAUUUAAAGUUGUCAUUACUCUCCACCCCUGCUGUUUUAUAUCAGAUUAUUCCUAAGUGCUUGGUGAAGAAUCCCAUCAAGCCACACUCGAUUCCUCUGCAGGGGAUAAUCGCAUAGUUUGCGCUGUGAUUUACACUGCGUGGCACUGGGAAGUGUCCUCGACUUUGAAAGGCCUUGGUUCCCGGGCACUUGGUUGCUGCCUUCCCCACGGAAAUCCAACUCCAAUGGUCCCUCCAUGACAAUUAUGAGGUCCCCAUUACCUUGGCUCCAUCCAACUGGAGAUAAUUAAAAACAGCUCAAAGCACACGCCAGAAGGUAUCGGGCAUUUUAUUAAUAAAUGGAGAAGUGAGGAAACGAUAUGUUCCGUUAACGGUUUCAACUGUAAGAUGCUCUUACGGUCCUUUCUUGCUUUUUUUCUCCCCAUCUUGUGUUUGGGGGCAGCCAGGCAUUCUGCGCUCAGAGAUCAGAAGAAGCAAGGAGGGGUUAUUUCACCUUUGUUAAACUCCAGCUGAAGCCGUGGCUCUAAGGUCAUCAGGAACCACAUUCCUCCCCUUGGAGAAAAUGCUUCCAAGGGAGGGAGAGGCUUUAAAAGUAUGUGGGCACCAGCUUUGCCAGUAGGACAGCCACCCUCAGUCACCCCCAUCCCCUGUACGCAGUAGGAACAGCAAUACAUCAUGCAAGCCUGCUCUGACCUUGACCAGAGGCGCUGA
rnacentral:lncRNA from 1 species